AAUGAACGCUGGCGGCGCGCCUAAUACAUGCAAGUCGAGCGAGAAGACGUAGCAAUACGUUUGUAAAGCGGCGAACGGGUGAGGAAUACAUGGGUAACCUACCCUCGAGUGGGGAAUAACUAGCCGAAAGGUUAGCUAAUACCGCGUACGCUUCUUGGACUUCGGUUCAGGGAGGAAAGCGAUACCGUGGGUAUCGCGCUCUUGGAUGGGCUCAUGUCCUAUCAGCUUGUUGGUGAGGUAACGGCUCACCAAGGCUUCGACGGGUAGCUGGUCUGAGAGGACGAUCAGCCACACUGGCACUGCGACACGGGCCAGACUCCUACGGGAGGCAGCAGUAAGGAAUAUUGCGCAAUGGGCGAAAGCCUGACGCAGCGACGCCGCGUGGGGGAUGAAGGUCUUCGGAUUGUAACCCCUUUCGGGAGGGAAGAUGGAUGGGUAACCAUUCGGACGUACCUCCAGAGCAGCCACGGCUAACUCCGUGCCAGCCGCCGC
rnacentral:rRNA from 1 species